rnacentral:rRNA from 1 species
AUUGAACGCUGGCGGCAGGCCUAACACAUGCAAGUCGAACGGUAACAGGAAACAGCUUGCUGUUCCGCUGACGAGUGGCGGACGGGUGAGUAAUGUCUGGGAAACUGCCUGAUGGAGGGGGAUAACUACUGGAAACGGUAGCUAAUACCGCAUAACGUCGCAAGACCAAAGAGGGGGACCUUCGGGCCUCUUGCCAUCGGAUGUGCCCAGAUGGGAUUAGCUAGUAGGUGGGGUAACGGCUCACCUAGGCGACGAUCCCUAGCUGGUCUGAGAGGAUGACCAGCCACACUGGAACUGAGACACGGUCCAGACUCCUACGGGAGGCAGCAGUGGGGAAUAUUGCACAAUGGGCGCAAGCCUGAUGCAGCCAUGCCGCGUGUAUGAAGAAGGCCUUCGGGUUGUAAAGUACUUUCAGCGGGGAGGAAGGGAGUAAAGUUAAUACCUUUGCUCAUUGACGUUACCCGCAGAAGAAGCACCGGCUAACUCCGUG